GCCUAACACAUGCAAGUCGAGGGGUAACAGGGAGUGCUUGCACUCUGCUGACGACCGGCGCACGGGUGCGUAACGCGUAUGCAAUCUACCUCUUACUGAGGGAUAGCCCAUGGAAACGUGGAUUAAUACCUCAUAGUAUUAUAGACUGGCCUCAGUUUAUGAUUAAAGGUUACGGUAAGAGAUGAGCAUGCGUCCUAUUAGCUAGAUGGUAAGGUAACGGCUUACCAUGGCUACGAUAGGUAGGGGUCCUGAGAGGGAGAUCCCCCACACUGGUACUGAGACACGGACCAGACUCCUACGGGAGGCAGCAGUGAGGAAUAUUGGACAAUGGGCGAGAGCCUGAUCCAGCCAUGCCGCGUGCAGGAAGACGGCCCUAUGGGUUGUAAACUGCUUUUACAGAGGAAGAACCCUCCUUACGUGUAAGGAGCUGACGGUACUCUAUGAAUAAGGAUCGGCUAACUCCGUGCCAGCAGCCGCGGUAAUACGGAGGAUCCAAGCGUUAUCCGGAAUCAUUGGGUUUAAAGGGUCCGUAGGCGGGUCUAUAAGUCAGUGGUGAAAGUCUGCAGCUUAACUGUAGAACUGCCAUUGAUACUGUAGACCUUGAAUUAGUAUGAAGUGGUUAGAAUGUGUAGUGUAGCGGUGAAAUGCAUAGAUAUUACACAGAAUACCGAUUGCGAAGGCAGAUCACUAAUACUAUAUUGACGCUGAUGGACGA
rnacentral:rRNA from 1 species